rnacentral:rRNA from 1 species
UGGGGAAUUUUGCGCAAUGGGGGCAACCCUGACGCAGCAACGCCGCGUGAGUGAUGAAGGCUUUCGGGUCGUAAAGCUCUGUCGAGAGGGAAGAAAUGUUUUGUGGUUAAUACCCAUGAUACUUGACGGUACCUCUGAAGGAAGCACCGGCUAACUCCGUGCCAGCAGCCGCGGUAAUACGGAGGGUGCAAGCGUUGUUCGGAUUUAUUGGGCGUAAAGCGCGUGUAGGCGGUUUGUUAAGUCUGAUGUGAAAGCCCCGGGCUCAACCUGGGAAGUGCAUUGGAAACUGGCAGACUUGAAUACGGGAGAGGGUAGUGGAAUUCCUAGUGUAGGAGUGAAAUCCGUAGAUAUUAGGAGGAACACCGGUGGCGAAGGCGGCUACCUGGACCGAUAUUGACGCUGAGACGCGAAAGCGUGGGGAGCAAACAG